GUCCCCUUUUUUAAGAUUCUAAUUUUGUGAUUUAGAUGUAAUGUGGAAGAUGGUAUAAGAGAGCUUCCUUUAGUCCACUCAUAGGUAGACGAAGGAUUUGAAUUAUCUCCCGACUCAUUCAUUCAAACGCAAUAGGAAGUAUGUAAUCUUAUACUAUUGUGAAUGUGUGAAUGAUGCGGGAGAUAAAUUCUCUCCUUUUUAUCUGUGCUUGGACUGAAGGGAGCUCCCUUUUACCUUCUUUCUUCGGUUUCUUUUAGUCGAAUUGGUUUCUUAUGAAUUAGUUGUUUGGGGC
rnacentral:pre_miRNA from 1 species